rnacentral:rRNA from 1 species
UACGUAGGGGGCAAGCGUUGUCCGGAUUUACUGGGCGUGAAGGGCGCGUAGGCGGCCACCUCAAGUCAGUUGUGAAAUCUCUGGGCUUAACCCAGAAAGGUCAACUGAUACUGCGGGGCUAGAGUGCAGAAGGGGCAACUGGAAUUCUCGGUGUAGCGGUGAAAUGCGUAGAUAUCGAGAGGAACACCUGCGGCGAAGGCGGGUUGCUGGGCUGACACUGACGCUGAGGCGCGAAAGCUAGGGGAGCGAACGGG